AUUGAACGCUGGCGGCAGGCCUAACACAUGCAAGUCGAGCGAGCGGCGGACGGGUGCGUAAUGUAUGGGGACUGCCCUAUAGAGCGGGAUAACUUCUGGACACGGUAGCUAAUACCGCAUAUUAUCGGAUAACCCAUAUGGUAUUAGCUAGUUGGUGUGGUAAUGGCUCACCAAGGCGACGAUCCCUAGCUGGUCUGAGAGGAUGAUCCGCCACACUGGAACUGAGACACGGCCCAGACUCCUACGGAGGAAGCAGUGGGGAAUAUUGCACAAUGGGCGCAAGCCUGAUGCAGCAAUGCCGCGUGUAUGAAGAAGGCCCUAGGGUUGUAAAGUACUUUCAGUCGGGAGGCGUUACCGACAGAAGAAGCACCGGCUAACUACGUGCCAGCAGCCGCGGUAAUUC
rnacentral:rRNA from 1 species